rnacentral:rRNA from 1 species
AUUGAACGCUGGCGGCAGGCCUAACACAUGCAAGUCGAGCGGAUGAAGGGAGCUUGCUCCUGGAUUCAGCGGCGGACGGGUGAGUAAUGCCUAGGAAUCUGCCUGGUAGUGGGGGAUAACGUCCGGAAACGGGCGCUAAUACCGCAUACGUCCUGAGGGAGAAAGUGGGGGAUCUUCGGACCUCACGCUAUCAGAUGAGCCUAGGUCGGAUUAGCUAGUUGGUGGGGUAAAGGCCUACCAAGGCGACGAUCCGUAACUGGUCUGAGAGGAUGAUCAGUCACACUGGAACUGAGAAACGGUCCAGAAUCCUACGGGAGGCAGCAGUGGGGAAUAUUGGACAAUGGGCGAAAGCCUGAUCCAGCCAUGCCGCGUGUGUGAAGAAGGGCUUCGGAUUGUAAAGCACUUUAAGUUGGGAGGAAGGGCAGUAAGUUAAUACCUUGCUGUUUUGACGUUACCAACAGAAUAAGCACCGGCUAACUUCGU